rnacentral:rRNA from 1 species
UACGUAGGGUGCAAGCGUUAAUCGGAAUUACUGGGCGUAAAGCGUGCGCAGGCGGCUAUGCAAGACAGAUGUGAAAUCCCCGGGCUUAGCCUGGGAACUGCAUUUGUGACUGCAUGGCUAGAGUACGGUAGAGGGGAUGGAAUUCCGCGUGUAGCAGUGAAAUGCGUAGAUAUGCGGAGGAACACCGAUGGCGAAGGCAAUCCCCUGGACCUGUACUGACGCUCAUGCACGAAAGGCGUGGGGAGCAA